AAUACGUCCUUAGCAUACACAAAGCCCUCAACCUGAUCCCUAGCAUGGGAAAAAGGGAGAACAGAAGGAAGGGAAGAAGGUAGGAAAGGAGGAAGGAAAGAAGAAAGGAAGAGAAAAGGAAUGAAAAAAAUUAACUUCAAGAAAUAGAUACUAAAUUCUCAGACAUCAUCAUAAAAUUUAGUAAACCCAAAUGACUGGAAAUUAACUUUUAAAACUCCAGAUCUACAAUCCUAGUGGAUUCUUAUUCUUGCUUCGGCAAAAAUUUAUAAGAAUCAAUUAUGCUAUCUUACUUUGAAAUAAUAAAAAAAGUAUAUGGCCAAAAUAGAUUAUCUACAACUAACAUAACUAGGAAACAUGCUGAAAUUGGUUUGGAUGGGGGAGGGAGAGUGAUAUAGGGGGUAAGGAUUGAGAUACUACUAUAAACAAGUGUGGAAAUAUAACAAUGAAAUCCACCUCUGUAUAACUAAUGUAUGCUAAAUAAAUACAUAAAUCAGUGACAACAGGGGCUAGUAAUGGACAAGCGAGAAAACAAGUCCCAACUCAGUCCAGAAAGCAGUACUGAUUAAUAGUUCAGGGCUGGGAGCAUAGCUCAGUGGUGUAACACUCACCUACCAUGAGCUAGGCCCUACUCCCAUGUUCCAUCCAUUACCAGCACCAUCAUAAAGAAGAAAAACCUGCUUAUUGUAGGAUAAGACUAA